UACGUAGGGGGCUAGCGUUGUCCGGAAUCAUUGGGCGUAAAGAGCGUGUAGGCGGCCCGGUAAGUCCGCUGUAAAAGUCAAAGGCUCAACCUUUGAAUGUCAGUGGAUACUGCCGGGCUAGAGUCCGGAAGAGGCGAGUGGAACUCCUGGUGUAGCGGUGGAAUGCGCAGAUAUCAGGAAGAACACCAACGGCGAAGGCAGCUCUCUGGGACGGUACUGACGCUGAGACGCGAAAGCGUGGGGAGCGAACAGG
rnacentral:rRNA from 1 species